rnacentral:rRNA from 1 species
GGUUUGAUCAUGGCUCAGAUUGAACGCUGGCGGGAUGCUUUACACAUGCAAGUCGAACGGCAGCACGGACUUCGGUCUGGUGGCGAGUGGCGAACGGGUGAGUAAUGUAUCGGAACGUGCCUAGUAGCGGGGGAUAACUACACGAAAGCGUGCCAAUACCGCAUUGCCCUUCGGGGGAAAGCGGGGGACCUUCGGGCCUCGCACUAUUAGAGCGGCCGAUAUCGGAUUAGCUAGUUGGUGGGGUAACGGCUCACCAAGGCGACGAUCCGUAGCUGGUUUGAGAGGACGACCAGCCACACUGGGACUGAGACACGGCCCAGACUCCUACGGGAGGCAGCAGUGGGGAAUUUUGGACAAUGGGAACCUGAUCCAGCCAUCCGCGCAAAAGGAUACGGCCUCGGGUUGUAAAGCACUUUGGCAGGAAGAAACGGCACGCGGGAUAAUACCCGUGCAACUGACGGUACCUGCAGAAUAAGCACUGCUAACUACGUGCCAGCAGCCGCGGUAAUACGUAGGUGCGUUAACCGGAAUUACUGGGCGUAAAGCGUGCGCAGGCGGUUCGGAAAGAAAGAUGUGAAAUCCCAGAGCUUAACUUUGGAACUGCAUUUUUAACUACCGAGCUAGAGUGUGUCAGAGGGAGGUGGAAUUCGCGGCAGUGAAAUGCGUAGAUAGUGGAGGUAACACCGAUGGCGAAGGCAGCCUCCUGGGAUAACACUGACGCUCAUGCACGAAAGCGUGGGGAGCAAACAGGAUUAGAUACCCUGGUAGUCCACGCCCUAAACGAUGUCAACUAGCUGUUGGGGCCUUCGGGCCUCGGCAGUAGCGCAGCUAACGCGUGAAGCUGACCGCCUGGGGAGUACGGUCGCAAGAUUAAAACUCAAAGGAAUUGACGGGGACCCGCACAAGCGGUGGAUGAUGUGGAUUAAUUCGAUGCAACGCGAAAACCUUACCUACCCUUGACAUGUCUGGAAUCCCGAAGAGAUCAGAUGCCUCGCAGAACCCGAACACAGGUGCUGCACGGUUUGUCGUCAGCUCGUGUCGUGAGAUGUUGGGUUGAAAGUCCCGCAACGAGCGCAACCCUUGUCAUUAGUUGCUGCAGCAACACCACUUAAUGAGACCGCCGGUGACAAACCGGAGGAAGGUGGGGAUGACGUCAAGUCCUCAUGGCCCUUAUGGGUAGGGCUUCCGCACGUCAUACAAUGGUCGGGACAGAGGGUCGCCAACCCGCGAGGGGGAGCCAAUCCUGAACCCGAUCGUAGUCCGGACGUAGUCUGCAACUCGACUGCGUGAAGUCGGAAUCGCUAGUAAUCGCGGAUCAGCAUGAAACUGCGGUGAAUACGUUCCCGGGUCUUGUACACACCGCCCGUCACACCAUGGGGUGGGUUUCACCAGAAGUAGUUAGCUCAACUCGUAAGGAGGGCGAUUACCACGGUAGGAUUCAUGACUGGGGUGAAGCUGCAACAAGGUAG